AUGGAUCUGCGGCGCAUUAACAAAGCUUAUAUUGUCCUGCUUCCCAAAAAAUUAGGGGCAAAUCAACCCAAAAACUUUAGAUCGGUCUCCCUCCAGAAUUGUGCAGUUAAGAUUGCAUCUAAAUGUUUAGCUAAUCGGACGCAAGUUGUCAUUCCUGAUAUUCUCCACCAAUUCCAAUCUGGUUUCAUUAGGGGCAGAGGAAUCACGGAUAAUUUUCUCCAUGCCGACAACAUCAUCCAGUCGUGCUUCAAAAGGAAAAUUCCCUCCAUUGUUCUUAAACUAGAUUUCCACAAAGCUUUUGACUCUGUUUCCUAGGCCGCUCUCUCUGCUAUUCUUUGUGCUAAAGGCUUUCCUGGUCUUUGGGAUAGAUGGAUCAAACUUCUUAACGACACCUCUACCUCCGCUAUCUUGCUUAAUGGGAGACACAGGCCGUGGUUUCCGUGUCACUGCGGGCUAAGGAAGGGUGACUCCCUCUCGCCCUACCUAUUCAUCGUGAUCGCUGACGUUCUGCAACGCUUGAUCACCCAGGCCUCGGCGACCGGCAUGCUUUCUCACCCCCUAGAUCCCACUCUACCGUGCCCAGUUCUACAAUACACCGUGACACACUGA
rnacentral:rRNA from 1 species